CCUUCGAUAGCUCAGUUGGUAGAGCGGUGGACUGUAGAGAGAGCUGAGAGCGAUAGUAAUCCAUAGGUCACUGGUUCAAAUCCGGUUCGAAGGA
rnacentral:tRNA from 1 species